AACAAUGUACAGUGAAACCACGGCUGGUAACAGUUACAUAGAAACUGGCAAUAUUUACAAUACAACAACUGCAAACAACAAUUACACAACAGUGAGCCCAUUUCUAACAACUUUGAACAAUACAUCACUGUACAAUUCAUUUACUUCUGGCAAUAAUGACAGACAAACUAGCAACAGUUAUAAUACAACUACAGCCAACAAUAAUUCUACAGCCAGCAACAUUUACGCAACAACCUACAAUUCAGCUAUGUCAGAAAACAAUUACAACACAACUACAGCCAGCAAUAAUUCUACAACAUUGUACAAUACAGCUAUGUCCAGCAAUAAUUUUACAACAGCGUACAAUGCAACUACGGUCAGAAACAAUGACAGACAACCUGGCAACAGCUACAACGCAACCACAGCCAACAAUAAUUCUACAACAGUUCACAGUGCUACUAUAGAGAGAAACAAUUAUACAACAGUCGAUGGCACAACCACAGCUGGUAACAAUUACAUAAUCCCACAAAAUACAACUUCAGGUAGCAAUAAUUAUACAACUACAGGUGGGCACAGUUACACAAAGGUUUACGAUGCAACCACAGUGAACAACAAUGACACAGUAGUUCAUAAUGCCACUACAUCUGGGACCAAUUUGAAUGAAAAUACAACUAACCAAAAUUACACAACACUUAAUUACACAACUACACCUGGCAGUAAUUCCACAUUAGUGUCCAGCAACUUUAGUACAGCUACAACUAUGAAUAGUUCCACAGCAACUACACCUGGUAAUAAUUAUACAGCAAUGUAUAAUGCAUCCACAGCUGUCAUCAAUUACACAGUAGUGUAUAAUGCAAUUACAUCUGGCAACAAUUUUAAUGUAACUGCAACUAACAACAACUACACAAUAGUUUAUAAUGCAACUGGAUCUGGUAGUAAUUACACCCUUGUGUAUGCUGCAACCACAGCUGACAACAAUUACACAGCAAUGUACAAUGUAACAACAGCUGGCACAACUUUACACAAUGGUGUGGCGACAACCAGUAACACAACAGUUAGUACAACAACAAUAUCUCCCAACUACACAAUGAUAAAGAGCACAACUACAGCCUCUAACAAUUACACAACACCAGUGAUCAUUACUCCGACUAUUCUAUCUCAAAAUAAAACAACUGCAAUUAUUGGAACCACAGAGAAAAGCACAACUGCUGCAGUGUCUCACAGUACUAAACCUACUUCAGCUCCACUGAAGAACCAGACUGCAAAUUUCACCACAGUGAGUUUGACUCAUGUCACAACAAUAAGCAAAAAUGAAACCAUGUCCACCACAGCUGCUAGCACCGUCCAAACAGAUGACAGACCAGAGGCCGGUUUAACGACAACAACGACAACAACGACAACAACGACAACAACAACAGAAAAUGCAUCUGUUGUUAUUAUCUCACCCGCAACCACUGCAACUACUAUAACAGGUCAUGGUCCACAAGAUUUAAAUGGCACAACUGCUGAGGUUUCUUUGACUUAUACAACACCGCUCACCAAAACUACUACAACCACCACAGUGGCUGAGAACACAGGAACUUCCACAACUGAUGUACAAACAACUGAUGAAGCAGUCUACCUGUUGAAUCAAACACAGGCUAUAUCUCUGCUCAACGCCUCUCAAGU
ensembl:lncRNA